AGGAGGAGAAUUGGGCAAGGCAGCUUGACUGAAAGAAGGUGUUGAAGGUUUAUGUGUAUUGACACUGAAGGACAUAGAGUCAGGAUUGAACUGGGAGACAGACUGAACUUGUCUCUGUUUUUCAUCGUUGGGGAGAAUGUUAAAGACACUGUCAAGACUAGGAGGAGGUUGCAUCAUUAACAAGUUGCUCCUCACCCCCAUAUAUGUUUCAUUAAGACCCAUGAGGAAUUGAAACACCUUAUUCUCCUCAUCCUCCUUUAUAAUGCCAGGUUUGGCAGCACAGAUACAUCUCUG
rnacentral:lncRNA from 1 species